rnacentral:rRNA from 1 species
UACGUAGGGUGCGAGCGUUGUCCGGAAUUAUUGGGGCGUAAAGGGCUCGUAGGCGGUUUGUCGCGUCGGGAGUGAAAUCCACUGGCUUAACUGGUGGCUUGCUUUCGAUACGGGCAGACUAGAGGUAUGCAGGGGGAGAACGGAAUUCCUGGUGUAGCGGUGAAAUGCGCAGAUAUCAGGAGGAACACCGGUGGCGAAGGCGGGUCUCUGGGCCGAUACUGACGCUGAGGAGCGAAAGCGUGGGGGAGCGAACAGG